ensembl:lncRNA
AUUCAAAAAAGUCUUGGCAGUUCAAUGAGUUCCUCCCAGCCCAGAAUACCAACCUCAGACUUGCCUAUAGUCCCAUCACGCUAUGAAAAAAGGCAAACCAAAUGAGACAGAGCAAUUCAAAAAUGUGGCAUUUUAACAAACUGGACCUGCUUCUCUGCUGUCAAAGAAACCCGCAUAAGCAUAAAUGCUUCUGGAAAAAAAGCACUUGAAUUUCACACAAUUUAAGGAUUUGAAGAGAUGCUAUUUUACAUUCGCCCUCCCAGCUGCUAGAGUACCUGCCAGGUUCGUGUUGGGAGCCAUGUUUACCAUGAGCCACAUGUGAACCCUAAUUUAAAAAGACUAAAGCAAUAUGAAACUUAAAACUCUGGUGUGAAUACAUCUUAGAGCUGCCCACUCAUGACAGCAUCACUGAGGUAAACCAGUAAGCAAUCCACUCAAGCUAUUAUGUUGGCAGUCUCCUUCUCCAGAGCGCUGACAUCCAUG